rnacentral:rRNA from 1 species
CCUACGGGUGGCAGCAGUGAGGAAUAUUGGUCAAUGGGCGGGAGCCUGAACCAGCCAAGCCGCGUGAUGGAAGACGGUACAACGUAUCGUAAACCUCUUUUGUCAGGGAACAACGCCGGUUACUAGUCCCCUUUUGCGUGUACCUUAUGAAAAAGCAUCGGCUAACUCCGUGCCAUCAGCCGCGGUAAUACGGAGGAUCCGGGCGUUAUCCGGAUUUAUUGGUUUUAACGGGUGCGAGGGCGGCCUGUUACGUCAGCGGGAAAAGCCCGGGGUUCACCCCCGCCGAGCCGCUGCAACUGGCGGGCUGGAGUUGGAGAGAAGCACGCGGAAUGCGUGGUGUAGCGGUGAAAUGCUUAGAUAUGGCGAAGAACCCCGAUUGCGAAGGCAGCGUACCGGAUCCAAACUGACGCUGAGGCACGAAAGCGUGGGUAUCGAACAGGAUUAGAUACCCUAGUAGUC